CAGCUGGCUGUGCAGGGCUGCUGUCUCUCAGUGUUUGUGUGGAACUGGGGGACAGAGAGAGGCAUAAAUAUUCAGUAACGAGCUCCAGGAAAGUGCAGGGAAUCUUGACGGGAGUGUGUGACAUGAUAAAGGAAAAAAGAAGAUUCUGAGCUUAGAAGAGUUGAGAACUUGAAGAGCUAUCCAAUUUCAUAAGAACAGGAAAACCAGAGAUACAGUGGCACUUGGUGACUGUCAUGACUGGAACCCUGCAGGAGUGGAGGGUCCCGUCUCCGAGUUCCUCCAACCUCAAAGCUGAGUCCUGAGCCAUCCCCCGUCUUAGAUCUGGAUUCUCCUCUCUGCCUCACAUCUGUGAAGGCCCUGGAGUUGGUCCUGCAAGCUCCCACUUUUCCAGAAUGAAGGCUGACAUCCUCGUGGAAGGAGAGUCCUUCGGAGAAGACUGCAGUUGUGCACCCUGCCAUGCAGACUGUUGUCCUGCGAGCAAGAAUGAUGUGUGAUGGGUGUGGGCAGGAAAUUGUCACUCAAUUCACCACUCCAGUCCCAGCUGCAGACCUUGGGAGGUGUUCUUGCUGCAG